rnacentral:lncRNA from 1 species
AAGCAGUCAUAUAUGUAUAUUUUGAGAGAUUAGUUGUGAGUACUUGCUUGUGUUAGAAUAUAAUGGUGAUUGAGAAGACUAAGAGGCAAUUGAAUAGGGAGGAGAAAUAGCACAAUGUAAGGCGCAAGGAUGAGUUACCACCAUUGGGGUGUAUUAUUGUGACUAACAUGGAGCCGAUCCGAUUGGAUGUUUGUUGGACUAAGGAAAAGUAGCAAGAUUUUCG